rnacentral:rRNA from 1 species
AGUGAACGCUGGCGGUAGGCCUAACACAUGCAAGUCGAACGGCAGCACAGUAAGAGCUUGCUCUUACGGGUGGCGAGUGGCGGACGGGUGAGGAAUACAUCGGAAUCUACUUUUUCGUGGGGGAUAACGUAGGGAAACUUACGCUAAUACCGCAUACGACCUACGGGUGAAAGCAGGGGAUCUUCGGACCUUGCGCGAUUGAAUGAGCCGAUGUCGGAUUAGCUAGUUGGCGGGGUAAAGGCCCACCAAGGCGACGAUCCGUAGCUGGUCUGAGAGGAUGAUCAGCCACACUGGAACUGAGACACGGUCCAGACUCCUACGGGAGGCAGCAGUGGGGAAUAUUGGACAAAGGGCGCAAGCCUGAUCCAGCCAUAGCGCGUGGGUGAAGAAGGCCUUCGGGUUGUAAAGCCCUUUUGUUGGGAAAGAAAAGCAGCAGGUUAAUACCCCGCUGUUCUGACGGUACCCAAAGAAUAAGCACCGGCUAACUUCGUG